UACAGAGGUCUCAAGCGUUGUUCGGAUUCAUUGGGCGUAAAGGGUGCGUAGGUGGCGCCGUAAGUCGGGUGUGAAAUCUCAGGGCUCAACCCUGAAACUGCAUUCGAUACUGCCUUGCUCGAGGACUGGAGAGGAGAUUGGAAUUCACGGUGUAGCAGUGAAAUGCGUAGAUAUCGUGAGGAAGACCAGUGGCGAAGGCGGAUCUCUGGACCGAAACUGACGCUGAGGAGCGAAAGCGUGGGGAGCAAACAGG
rnacentral:rRNA from 1 species